rnacentral:tRNA from 1 species
GCAUGUAUGGCCGAGCGGUUAUGGCGCUGUGUUCAGGCUCUUCCAUUAAAUGGAAGAGGAAGUUCGCAGUUCUCCGGAACGUGGGUUCGAAUCCCACUGCAUGUA